AAAGAAAGAGGGAGGCAGGAAGAACACAGGCAAGUCGAACGAGACCUUCGGGUCUAGUGGCGCACGGGUGCGUAACGCGUGGGAACCUGCCCUUAGGUUCGGAAUAACUCCCCGAAAGGGGUGCUAAUACCGGAUAAUGUCUUCGGACCAAAGAUUUAUCGCCUUUGGAUGGGCCCGCGUUGGAUUAGCUAGUUGGUAGGGUAAAAGCCUACCAAGGCGACGAUCCAUAGCUGGUCUGAGAGGAUGAUCAGCCACACUGGGACUGAGACACGGCCCAGACUCCUACGGGAGGCAGCAGUGGGGAAUAUUGGACAAUGGGCGAAAGCCUGAUCCAGCAAUGCCGCGUGAGUGAUGAAGGCCUUAGGGUUGUAAAGCUCUUUUACCCGGGAUGAUAAUGACAGUACCGGGAGAAUAAGCGCCGGCUAACUCCGUC
rnacentral:rRNA from 1 species